GAUGAACGCUAGCGGGAGGCCUAACACAUGCAAGCCGAGCGGUAUUGUUUCUUCGGAAAUGAGAGAGCGGCGUACGGGUGCGGAACACGUGUGCAACCUGCCUUUAUCUGGGGGAUAGCCUUUCGAAAGGAAGAUUAAUACUCCAUAAUAUAUUGAACGGCAUCGUUUAAUAUUGAAAGCUCCGGCGGAUAGAGAUGGGCACGCGCAAGAUUAGCUAGUUGGUGAGGUAACGGCUCACCAAGGCGAUGAUCUUUAGGGGGCCUGAGAGGGUGAUCCCCCACACUGGUACUGAGACACAGACCAGACUCCUACGGGAGGCAGCAGUGAGGAAUAUUGGUCAAUGGGUGCAAGCCUGAACCAGCCAUCCCGCGUGAAGGACGACUGCCCUAUGGGUUGUAAACUUCUUUUGUAUAGGGAUAAACCUACCCUCGUGAGGGUAGCUGAAGGUACUAUACGAAUAAGCACCGGCUAACUCCGUGCCAGCAGCCGCGGUAAUACGGAGGGUGCAAGCGUUAUCCGGAUUUAUUGGGUUUAAAGGGUCCGUAGGCGGACUUAUAAGUCAGUGGUGAAAGCCUGUCGCUUAACGAUAGAACUGCCAUUGAUACUGUAAGUCUUGAGUAUAUUUGAGGUAGCUGGAAUAAGUAGUGUAGCGGUGAAAUGCAUAGAUAUUACUUAGAACACCAAUUGCGAAGGCAGGUUACCAAGAUAUAACUGACGCUGAGGGACGAAAGCGUGGGGAGCGAACAGGAUUAGAUACCCUGGUAGUCCACGCCGUAAACGAUGCUAACUCGUUUUUGGGCUUUAGGGUUCAGAGACCAAGCGAAAGUGAUAAGUUAGCCACCUGGGGAGUACGCUCGCAAGAGUGAAACUCAAAGGAAUUGAUGGGGGCCCGCACAAGCGGUGGAUUAUGUGGUUUAAUUCGAUGAUACGCGAGGAACCUUACCAAGACUUAAAUGGGAAUUGACAGCUUUAGAAAUAGAGCUUUCUUCGGACAAUUUUCAAGGUGCUGCAUGGUUGUCGUCAGCUCGUGCCGUGAGGUGUUAGGUUAAGUCCUGCAACGAGCGCAACCCCUGUCACUAGUUGCCAUCAUUCAGUUGGGGACUCUAGUGAGACUGCCUACGCAAGUAGAGAGGAAGGUGGGGAUGACGUCAAAUCAUCACGGCCCUUACGUCUUGGGCCACACACGUAAUACAAUGGCCGGUACAGAGGGCAGCUACACAGCGAUGUGAUGCAAAUCUCGAAAGCCGGUCUCAGUUCGGAUUGGAGUCUGCAACUCGACUCUAUGAAGCUGGAAUCGCUAGUAAUCGCGCAUCAGCCAUGGCGCGGUGAAUACGUUCCCGGGCCU
rnacentral:rRNA from 1 species